rnacentral:rRNA from 1 species
GCCAUGCCGCGUGCAGGAUGACGGUCCUAUGGAUUGUAAACUGCUUUUGUACGAGAAGAAACACUCCUAUGUAUAGGAGCUUGACGGUAUCGUAAGAAUAAGGAUCGGCUAACUCCGUGCCAGCAGCCGCGGUAAUACGGAGGAUCCAAGCGUUAUCCGGAAUCAUUGGGUUUAAAGGGUCCGUAGGCGGUUUAGUAAGUCAGUGGUGAAAGCCCAUCGCUCAACGGUGGAACGGCCAUUGAUACUGCUGAACUUGAAUUACUGGGAAGUAACUAGAAUAUGUAGUGUAGCGGUGAAAUGCUUAGAUAUUACAUGGAAUACCAAUUGCGAAGGCAGGUUACUACCAGUUGAUUGACGCUGAUGGACGAAAGCGUUGGGAGCGAACAGGAUUAGAUACCCUGGUAGUCCACGCCGUAGACGAUGGAUACUAGCUGUUGGGAGCAAUUUCAGUGGCUAAGCGAAAGUGAUAAGUAUCCCACCUGGGGAGUACGUUCGCAAGAAUGAAACUCAGAGGAAUUGACGGGGGCCCGCACAAGCGGUGGAGCAUGUGGUUUAAUUCGAUGAUACGCGAGGAACCUUACCAAGGCUUAAAUGUAGAUUGACCGUUUUGGAAACAGAA